ACCUCUAGUAGCGGCGAGUGAACGGGGUACAGCCCAAGCCCAAUCCCCAACUCGAGUUGGCGAAGUGUGGUUCGAGUCGAUGCGUGCCGUCGCUCCUGCCGUCCAAGACCCCUGGAAGGGGGCGCCGGAGAGGGUGAGAGCCCCUUCGACGGUGGGGACGCGACCAUCCUGCGCGUCGAUCGAGAGUCGGGUUAUUUGAAAUUGUAACCUAAAUUCGGUGGUAAUUCUCAUCUAAGGCUAAAUAUCCACAGGAGACCGAUAGCGCACAAGUACUGCGAAGGAAAGAUGAAAAGGACUUUGAAAAGAAAGUUAAAAAGUACUUGAAAUCGUCGGGAGGGAAGUGCUGGGUUGCUAGCUUGCACGGAGCCUUAUCCGCUUAAAUUAAUCGGUAUGCGCGUCCGGCGCGGGUCUUCGAGGCGACGAGCUCGAGCACAAACGGUUGGAUAGAGCACCUGCCAGCUUGCGCGUGCGUCCGUCGCCUCGAUGGCGCGAGGCAGCCGAACAGUCCGUC
rnacentral:rRNA from 1 species